rnacentral:rRNA from 1 species
GUGGGGAAUAUUCCGCAAUGGACGAAAGUCUGACGGAGCAACGCCGCGUGAGUGAUGAAGGUUUUCGGACUGUAAAGCUCUGUUGUUUAGGACGAAAGUGCCUGUUGCGAACAGUUACAGGUAUUGACGGUACUAAACGAGGAAGCCACGGCUAACUACGUGCCAGCAGCCGCGGUAAUACGUAGGUGGCAAGCGUUGUCCGGAAUUAUUGGGCGUAAAGAGCAUGUAGGCGGAGAUUUAAGUCUGUUGUGAAAAUGCGGGGCUCAACCCCGUAUUGCGAUGGAAAGUGAAUUUCUUGAGUGCAGGAGAGGAAAGGGGAAUUCCCAGUGUAGCGGUGAAAUGCGUAGAUAUUGGGAGGAACACCAGUGGCGAAGGCGCCUUUCUGGACUGUGUCUGACGCUGAGAUGCGAAAGCCAGGGUAGCGAACGGGAUUAGAUACCCUAGUAGUCC